CAAAUCCCCCACACACCAAUCUGUAUGCACAAACCCGCUCCCCACUGGGUAGUACUGUACUUCUCACCGUCUCCAGCUCCUUCCAUCCACCUACCAAGUACCAACGCCCUGAGCCACCUCCCAUGUCCCCCAGCUGCUCCGGCGACGGCGAGUUCCGGCUCACCCUCAUCUUCCCCUCCGCGCCCCGGAGAGAUCAUGGUCUUCUUCACUGUCUCCCUGUCGCUCCGGCGAUGGCGUCCUGCGCUCCUCACCUGCCUGGAAAUCGCCCCGGCGAGGUCCGUCACCCCCUCACCUACCUACCCACAGCCCCAGCGUGGUCCUGCACUCCUGCGCCCCUCGCCUUUCUCCCCGCCGAUCCGAGCUCGUCUGGUCCUCACUCCCCAACACUGCCGCCAGCUCGAGCUCGGCAGCAUACUCGCGGGCGACCCAGCGUAGGCACCGAUGGAUGAGCAGGCGCGGGGACUUCUCCACCGGAUUACCUUGCACGGCCACAGUGCGUUCGGGGGACCCACACAGCCCACCUCUUCCUCCUGUUGUACAAGCAGAUUAACCGGAGAUCGCGGAGGGACGCUUUCUCCGGUGAAUGGUCGACACCAUUGCUCCAGCGAAUGGUCAGCGCCCCUCCAAGUUGAUGGUGUUGAACCAUUGAUCACCCUGCAGCUCACUGGUCGACGAUGCGCAGAUACCAAAACUCAGUUUCUGGAUGGGCGAGUUGUAUUCACAAAGCAAGGAAAGCCUGUAAUGCCACUGAAGGAUCCAACAUCUGAUAUAUGACUAUCAUUGCACUCAAAGGUUCUGUUCUGGUUCAGAAAAUUCGUGAAAAGGAGAGCCAGUGUUUCUGGGAUCUUGUUGGAUCUAAUCUUGGAAUUAUAUUGGGUGUUGAGAGAACGUCUGCAAGGUCAUAGUUUACCAGAAAGUGAUCAGGUAAACAGUGGUGGAACCGCUGGGAAGAAGUGCAGCUGCUUGCGUCCUGCUGGAGCCUGUCACGUGGCGUCGGCGUGAGGGCGAUAUGGCGGCAGGUUGACGACGGCGACAGGACUGCGUGGUGGAACGCGAGAACGGCGAGAGGAAAGCGCGCUGGACGGCGAGAAUUGCUGCUGGGCGGCAACGGCGAGAGGAAGGCGUGACUGACGGGACGGCGAGAACGGCGAGAGGAAGGUGUCUUGGACGGCGAGAACUGCUGCUGGGCGAGACGUGCUGCGGGGAGAACGGCGAGAGGAAAGCGCGCUGGACGGCGAGAAUUGCUGCUGGGCGGCAACGGCGAGAACGGCGAGAGGAAGGUGUCUUGGACGGCGAGAACUGCUGCUGGGCGAGACGUGCUGCGGGGUUUGACGAACGGUUACGUGAUAUGUUCCUGUAUCGAUCGAUGUCCUUUUUUUUCCUGUGGAGCGCUAGAGCAGACGUGGUCUGCUGGUUUGCUCCCAUCAAAGAUGUAAUAGAUCUCAGCUAUUGGAUAGGUGGAUUGAAGGGUUGAGAUUGGUUGGA